UACGUAGGGGGCAAGCGUUGUCCGGAUUUAUUGGGCGUAAAGAGCGUGUAGGCGGCCAGGUAGGUCUGCUGUGAAAACUCGAGGCUUAACCUCGAGCUGUCGGCGGAAACCCUCUGGCUAGAGUCCGGAAGAGGAGAGUGGAAUUCCCGGUGUAGCGGUGAAAUGCGCAGAUAUCGGGAAGAACACCCGUGGCGAAGGCGGCUCUCUGGGACGGUACUGACGCUGAGACGCGAAAGCGUGGGGAGCGAACAGG
rnacentral:rRNA from 1 species